rnacentral:ncRNA from 1 species
AAUCUGGUUGAUCCUGCCAGUAGGCAUGUGCUUGUCUCAACAAUUAAGCCAUGCAUGUACAAAUAAAAUCUUCAAAUAUCAAACUGCGAAUGGCUGAUUCAACUCAACUACAUUUACUGAGAUCAUAUAAGCUACGUGACUACCUGUAGUAAUUCUAGGACUUAUGCAUGCAAUUAUGUCAGGACACGCAAGAAAACGGCUGUAAUUAUUAUAACAGAAACAACCGGGAAAACUCUACUGUCACUGCUGAAUUCUCUGUUGACUUUGAUGAAGUCAGUUCUCCAUGUAUCAGUGUCGUAUCUAUUUAUUGUCAACCGUAUGAAUUCAUUGGUAUAUUUUCUGGCUGCCAUUGAAAUAAAAGGAGAUCCGGGUUCAUUGCUUAUUUCUCGAAAGCGAGGAUUUAUUUUCAAGUAUCGGUUUAUUGUAGGAAUUUUGUUUGAUUGCAUGGAGGAUUUAAUCAUGAGCUGACAUCAGUUAGAGAACCACUGGAAAAACAGGGAGUACUUGAGAGCUGUUUCGUCCUAGUUUGAGACUCCUCAGCAGUACGCACCCACCGGGAUUCGAACCCAGGAC